rnacentral:lncRNA from 1 species
GGGAAAAAAAAUGAAUCUAGUUUUUUCAAUGAGGAAAACAAAGUGCUGUCACUUAGCAUUGUAUAGGUUUGGUGCAGGCUUCAUUCCAGUGCCCUCCUUGGGUGCUGCAUGUUCUCCUGGGGCUCUGUGCUCCUGGGGCCAUUGUGUAAUAGGGUCAAAUGCUGUACUAUAAUGGCACUGACAGCAAGUGGGGAUUUUAGUACCUUCUCCAGUUUGCUGUUUCACUGAGAAGUGGAUGGUGUGAAGCUGUGAUCGGUGUCAUGUAGGAAAUAUCUCGGGCACCAGCUGCUGCUUAGCUUUCUGGUCCACAGCAUCAUGCUGUUUCUGCCCUUGCCUUCAGCCUUCCAGUUUGUGCUGGGCUGGCCUGGAAGCCUCUCCUUGAAGGGCGAAGGAGACUUGAGGCUGCUGCUCCCUCUGCUGACUCCACCGAGAGCGCUUUGCUCAGCGACGGGAGGAGCCUCACUCCGGACGGGAGAGAUGCCCGGAGGGAUGAGGGCAUCAGCCCCGAUACCGGCACUGCUGCUUCGGUCCGUGUUCCGAAGAGCAGUUUGCAUUGCAGCAGGAGAUCUCCUUAAUCCUUCAGCAACUAUGAGCAUUUUCCAAAGAGGUUUUCUGUAUAUCCCAGAGGAACAAAGUCACAAUGGGAAAGUAGUUCUCCUUAUAAACUGUGACCAACUGCAGCUUCCCUCCAGCCCCGCUGGUAACGCCCUGUGGAUAUUUGCUUCUCAGAGAUUAGAGGAACAAAGCGAGAAGAGAGCAGCGUUCCAUUAUGGUCGAGCGUAUAAUAUUGUGAUUAUUAAUCAUACCCCUCCAAAUAAUUAAUCAUUUUGUGUGUUAUUUGAAGACAAACAGGGCCUUUGGUUCAUUAUCGCUUAUACAUACACAGAACUGGAGUCACAUCGGUGCUGUCAGACGUGGUUAAUCCCUGCCUGGGUUUUGUACAUGUCUGGGUAUCUGAAUCAUGUACAUGGCAAAUGAUCUACUAAUAUGUUUGCUCCACCAGUUUGUUCAUAUGGAGCCAAAUAUAUGAAAGCAUUCAAGCUCCGGAAAGGGCAGAUAUGGUCCUAAUGGAGUUGACAAAGGCAUCCAAUGUUCAGGGUUGUGUUUAAAAAGAGAGGACUUGCUGAUGAAAUUCUGCUUUAUUAUUUGGCAUGGAGGGGCAUGGUUAGUGGGCAUGGUGG